rnacentral:rRNA from 1 species
CCUCGGAGAGUUUGAUCCUGGCUCAGGACGAACGCUGGCGGCGUGCCUAAUACAUGCAAGUCGAGCGGACAGAAGGGUGCUUGCUCCCGGAUGUUAGCGGCGGACGGGUGAGAAACACGUGGGUAACCUGCCUGUAAGACUGGGAUAACUCCGGGAAACCGGAGCUAAUACCGGAUAGUUCCUUGAACCGCAUGGUUCAAGGAUGAAAGACGGUUUCGGCUGUCACUUACAGAUGGACCCGCGGCGCAUUAGCUAGUUGGUGGGGUAAUGGCUCACCAAGGCGACGAUGCGUAGCCGACCUGAGAGGGUGAUCGGCCACACUGGGACUGAGACACGGCCCAGACUCCUACGGGAGGCAGCAGUAGGGAAUCUUCCGCAAUGGACGAAAGUCUGACGGAGCAACGCCGCGUGAGUGAUGAAGGUUUUCGGAUCGUAAAGCUCUGUUGUUAGGGAAGAACAAGUGCGAGAGUAACUGCUCGCACCUUGACGGUACCUAACCAGAAAGCCACGGGUAACUACGUGCCACCAGCCGCGGUAAUACGUACGUGGCAAGCGUUGUCCGGAAUUAUUGGGCGUAAAGGGCUCGCAGGCGGUUUCUUAAAUCUGAUGUGAAACCCCCCGGCUCACCCGGGGAGGGUCAUUGGAAACUGGGAAACUUGAGUGCAGAAAAAGAGAGUGGAAUUCCCCCUGUAUCAGUGAAAUGCGUAGA